GACGGGGGGUCCAAGCGUUGUUCGGAAUCAUUGGGCGUAAAGCGUGUGCAGGUGGUCUUGUAAGUUGGAUGUGAAAGCCCCGGGCUCAACUCGGGAAGUGCAUUCAAAACUACAAAACUUGAGUAAGGAAGAGGGUCGUGGAAUUCCUGGUGUAGUGGUGAAAUGCGUAGAUAUCGUGAGGAACACCGAUGGCGAAGGCAGGUCUCUGGGCUGACACUGACGCUCAUGCACGAAAGCGUGGGGAGCAAACAGG
rnacentral:rRNA from 1 species